GUGCUCACUUCGGCAGCACAUAUACAGAAAUUGGAGCAAUACAGAGAUUAGCAUAGCCCUGCGCAAGGGUGACACACAAAUUCAUGAAGCGUUCCACAUUAAA